GGAUUUGACAGGACCGAGGCAGCCUGACCAGUCAGGUCCCCAACCGAUUGCCUUAGUGGAGACCCCAACCCGCCAAACCUUCAAGGUCCCAGACCUAUAGUGGACCCCCCCUCCCACAGACAACCCCCAAGGAGAGGGCCAACCCCAUCCCACCCCAUGACCUCGCAGCCAUGGGAGGUGUCACCUGGAGCAACCGCGGGCCCCGAGGUGGUUGUCCCUCCCCGUCCCAGUCCAGAGAGAGAGAGAUCAGAGCCCCAGGUGCAGAUGGGUAACCCAUCCGGCACAGACCAACACUUCCCCACCGGGACAGGGGUAAAAAGUGGCAAUUUAUAAAAAUGAAACUAUUUAUUCUCAACAGUUGGAGGUUUGUUUGUUUUGUUUUCUCUAAAUUGGCUAUGGUGCUUUACGCCCUGUAGGCGUGGGAAAUGAAAAUGCAACAAGUUGUCUCUGUUGUGAAACCCAGUGUGCCUGCUCAUACAUGUCUGUGAGGGAUUUGAUUACUCAGAAAAGCUAUAGGCCGUCAGUCAGGCAGAAGAGAGUGUGGAGAGGUGCUGGACUGUGGGGCUUUAAACACGCCGGCAGACAGGAAACCAGCAGAGCAGAGGGACAAUACAACAGAGAUUAGGGAUCAGUUGACCCCCUCCUCUGGGUGAAGCAGGCAGUCAGCCCUCCAACAAGACUGAAAAACACCUAUGACAACGAGGCAGCCUCACUCGGCUGACAGGACUCCAUAACCUGAGGACUGGCAACUUUUCUGAGACGAUACGAGCACAAAAGGAAAAACAGAAAAAAACGUGAAUAACCUCCACCUGGAUGUCUUUAGUACUCUGACAUCGCUGAGGGCAAAAAAGGGACUUUCACCAGCACCACACCUGAAGAACCGCUGACAAAGCAGGUGGGAGCUAACACUCAGGAUUAGCAAAAACGGAUUCAUUACCAAGCAGCAGAACAAAAAGAGACAAAGAUGAUCUAACACCUUGAAGCUCUACCACUUUGAGGAGUAAGUGACAAAGCAAGGAGGUCUAGCUCACGCAAAUUUGACAUUAUGCCGCUUAGAACGUCCACGAACAGGAAACCAUCCUCCAGUCAAAUAUCCAGGAGGAUCGCCAAGCAUAGGGAGACGGUGACUGUCAACAUGAUCAGUUUGCCUCUGGGAGAUUUCCGCCACAUCUCCCAUAUUGGGAAUAACGCUCUGACAGACAGCUUUGGGGAUCUGUCAUUUCUGAAAAAGGGAAACAGCCUCCUCCGACACAGCUCCAAGAGCGAGCAGAACCUCUUCCUCGCCUGUGUGCCGCCUCCAAAACCCCCUCGGCUGAACCUGGAUCUGAAUGGGACUGAGGCUAAGCAGAGCCCCAAGUGGUCUUUGGACCACAGGAAGAAGAAAUGUAGCUCUAUGCCGUUACUGGACAGUGACGAGGGAGACGAGGUGGACAAGGAUGAAGAUUUCCAAAGAAGAAAUAAGGAUGGGUCAAAUGAGGCUCAUGGGUUUGGACUAAGCGAUGCAAGUUCCUGCACAAAUGGAGGGUUUACAGAGAGCUACAACGGGGAUGUUAAAGACGAGGACAAUAGCUUUUCAUUCAACCUCGACCUUGGCCCCUCAAUCAUGGACGACGUUCUCCAAGUGAUGGAAAAGCUCCACAAUUAAGCAGGAUAUCAAGCGAACAUCGCUAAGAGGACUUGAAAAUGACUGUUUUUUAUGUUUUCAAUCAAUUUUUAUCCUUAAGCAAGCACCAAACAUCUAUGUAUUCAAAGGGAACAGACUCAUUUUUGGAGUGUAAACAAUGUGGGAAGACAGAAGACAGAGCAGCACUUAAAGUUAAUGUUUCCCCUAAAACAUCCCGGUUAAUUAUUGAACCCUGUCAAACUUUGAGAUGGGCAUUUUUUAAAUAUCUUUUACAUUUCUCCUUUGGUAUUGUAAACCACACAGCACAGCACAGAGGACGGCUGUUAAAACUUAAGAGUAUUGUGUUUAAGGAGGGAGAAGCAAAAGGCUAGAGUCCAAGGUCUUCGAGUUGUGAUGUCUUGGCGUGCUUGCCGAUCUAUUGUGUGCAGAGGGCAAUUUGACUUCGCACGCAUCCCGGAGGCCCCACUCAAAGGUACACCAAGGUACCCCCCAUCUCUCCUUCCCAACGGUGCAGUGAAAACAAACAUUUAGCUCUGCUUCCAAUAAAAGCCAGUCAGCGGUGGCAGGUUGGGCAGGACAGCAAACCAGGCCACAGGUCCAGGACCUCAGAAGAAUCCACAGAACCCUGUUUUCUUAGCUGUAAAUCAGAGUCUGAUGCUAUCGUGAGAGGUGCACGAGAAAGGGUAACAUGAGACCUCCACAUAUGCAGGGGAUGUCGAGGGAGGAGGGCCAGAGACAUCCAUUACGGCAGCAGAAGCCCUGAUCAGUCUAAACGCUUCCUUCUGAACAAACAGACCCCUGACACAAAAGACAUGCACGCUGCAUCUCGCAUGCGCCGCGCUGAAAGCAUAAAAAAAUGUCAUAUGGUCAGACCAAAGGAGGAAAACAAAAAUCAGAAAACUGGGGGCCUAGGAGCAAUAACUUUUCAAACGCUGGUCAAGCUUGUGUUUUGUGGGGAGGCAACUGACAAACUUCUCUAUAGAACCCAAUUUAAUAUACCGUAUGUUCUGCUUCAAGCAGCAAAAUCAAAGCUUGAUGUCCCAAAAAAAAAAAAAAAACAGCUCAGUCUGCGUAUGUAUGUUAUGUAUAUAAUGGUGUCUCUCAUUCAAAACACCAUCUCUAUGUCUUAUAUAAACCCUUUCGUUUGUGAAACAUUUGUUGAGAAAUAAAAAGUGAACUAAU